GCAUAGCUCAGUUGGUAGUAGCGCAUGACUGUUAAUCAUGAUGUCGUAGGUUCGAGUCCUACUGG
rnacentral:tRNA from 1 species